CAUUAUCGUACAAAAUGUGAGGGGCAUGUGAGGGCUGUCGCCGACUCAAAGUCGUGCACGCCCGAGCGUGUCCUCUCACAUAAUAAUCCAUCUCACCCUUUGUGCAUCGCCGCGUGGGCACCCUUUGGGAUCAUCUCGGAGGGGGCUCGCGUUUUCACACAAACCCCCCUUUUAAAAGUGUAGAAUGACCUCAUUUAUGCGCUAACCCGCAAUCAAUACAACUUUCAACAACGGAUCUCUUGGCUCUCGCAUCGAUGAAGAACGCAGCGAAAUGCGAUACGUAAUGUGAAUUGCAGAAUUCAGUGAAUCAUCGAAUCUUUGAACGCACCUUGCGCCCCUUGGUAUUCCGAGGGGCACACCCGUUUGAGUGUCGUGAAAACCUCAACCUCUUUGGUUUCUUCUGGAGACCAAAGCAGGCUUGGACUUUGGAGGCCUUUGCUGGCACCUCUCUCUUUUGAAGGUCAGCUCCUCUUAAACGAAUUAGCAGGGUCCUCUUUUGCCGAUCCUCGACGUGUGAUAAGAAGUUUCCAUGUCUUGGUUUCUGGCUCUGUCACUUUUGGGACCCGCUUCUAACCGUCUUGACCUUGCGUCGAGACAAGUGCUCGAGCAUGUCUCCCUUCUUGGGAAGCUCCCUCGACCCCCCGAACCCUUG
rnacentral:rRNA from 1 species